AUAGAGACUCAGAGCUGCAUAUCAAUAAGCGGAGGAAAAGAAACUAACAAGGAUUCCCUUAGUAACGGCGAGUGAAGCGGGAAGAGCUCAGAUUUGAAAUCUUCAAGGUUCUACCUUGACGAAUUGUAGUUUAAAGAAGUGUUUUCUGUUAGAUGAGUAGCAAAAGUUCCUUGGAAUAGGGACAUCAUAGAGGGUGAGAAUCCCGUAUUUGACCGUUAUUAUUCUAGCUUUGUGAUACACUUUCAAAGAGUCGGAUUGUUUGGGAAUGCAGUCCAAAAUGGGUGGUAAAUUUCAUCUAAAGCUAAAUACUGGCGAGAGACCGAUAGCGAACAAGUACCGUGAGGGAAAGAUGAAAAGAACUUUGAAAAGAGAGUUAAACAGUACGUGAAAUUGUCAAAAGGGAAGCGUUUGACACCAGUGUUGUUUUUCCAAAAAUCAAUUACGAAUGGCUUGAUUUUGUGUUGUAUUGACCUUAUCAGCUUUCUGCACUUUUUUCGAGUCUUUCUUAAUGCACUUUUUGGUUAACAAGUCAACAUCAAUUUCUUUUGUUGUAAAAGAGUAUUCGGAAGGUGGCUUUCUUUUCGGAGAAAGUGUUUAUAGCCCUAUACUUCUACAAUCGGAGAGAUUGAGGUCUGCAGCGUAGAUCCUUCGGGGUUAGAUACACUUGUGCUAAGUUGUAGCUUUUCAUAGACAACUUGUUAGACUAUGUUUAGUCAUGCGGCUUACUCGCUUGUGCUAUUUUACCUACGCUUAGGAUGUUGACGAUCAGCUGAGCGCG
rnacentral:rRNA from 1 species